rnacentral:rRNA from 1 species
UACGUAGGGGGCAAGCGUUGUCCGGAAUCAUUGGGCGUAAAGAGCGUGUAGGCGGUCCGGUCAGUCGGUUGUGAAAGUCAAGGGCUCAACCCUUGAAUGCCGGCCGAUACUGCCGGGCUAGAGUCCGGAAGAGGUGAGUGGAAUUCCUGGUGUAGCGGUGAAAUGCGCAGAUAUCAGGAGGAACACCGAUGGCGAAGGCAGCUCACUGGGACGGUACUGACGCUGAGACGCGAAAGCUAGGGGAGCGAACAGG